rnacentral:rRNA from 1 species
CAAGGCUGAAACUCAAAGGAAUUGACGGGGGCCCGCACAAGCGGAGGAACAUGUGGUUUAAUUCGAUGAUACGCGAGGAACCUUACCCGGGCUCGAACGGCAGCUGGAUAUACCAGAGAUGGUAUAGUCUUCGGACAGUUGUCGAGGUGCUGCAUGGUUGUCGUCAGCUCGUGCUGUGAAGUGUCGGCUUAAGUGCCAUAACGGGCGCAACCCUUGCCUUCAGUUGCCAUCAGGUAAAGCUGGGGGCUCUGGAGGGCCUGCCACCGCAAGGUGCGAGGAAGGGGGGGAUGAGGUCAAAUCAGCGCGGCCCUUACGUCCGGGGCGACACACGUGUUACAAUGGCAGGUACAGAGGGGUGCUAUCGGGUGACCGGAUGCCGAUCUCGAAAACCUGUCCCAGUUCGGACUGGAGUCUGCAACCCGAUUACACGAAGUUGGAUUCGCUAGUAAUCGCGCAUCACCCAUCCCGCGGUGAAUACGUUCCCGGGCCUAGUACACGCCGCCCGUCAAGCCAUGGGAG